AGAGUUUGAUCAUGGCUCAGAUUGAACGCUGGCGGCAGGCUUAAUACAUGCAAGUCGAGGGGCAGCAUGGUGUAGCAAUACACUGAUGGCGACCGGCAAACGGGUGCGGAACACGUACGCAACUUACCCAAAACUGGGGAAUAGCCCGGGGAAACCCGGAUUAAUACCUCGUAACAUAAUGAAGUGGCAUCACUUUAUUAUUAUAGCUCCGGCGGUUUUGGAUGGGCGUGCGCCUGAUUAGGUAGUUGGCGGGGUAAUGGCCCACCAAGCCUACGAUCAGUAACUGGUGUGA
rnacentral:rRNA from 1 species